rnacentral:sRNA from 1 species
GCUGGGCGCAGUGGCACAUGCCUGUAAUCCCAGCAGCUUGGGAGGCUGAGGCAGGAGGAUCCCAAGUUCAAAGCCAGCCUCAGCAAAAGUGAGGCACUAAGCAACUCAAUGAGACCCUGUCUCUA